GCUUGUCUCGAAAAGCAGGCAAAGGCUACAAGAUGAUUCGUUCAAGUCAAACUCUGUUUUGCACCUAACUAACAUAUUCCAACUUCGAAGACAUGCCCGUCAAGCUCAAGCACACUCUCGCAUAACGGACUAAGGGGGGGGGGCUUAUUGUUGGACAUGGGCCUUGCCCCCUAUAUGUUAGGAGGCCCAAAACAGAUGUCCACAAGUUUAUAAGGG
rnacentral:lncRNA from 1 species